GAUGAACGCUGGCGGCGUGCCUAAUACAUGCAAGUCGAGCGAACAGACGAGGAGCUUGCUCCUCUGACGUUAGCGGCGGACGGGUGAGUAACACGUGGAUAACCUACCUAUAAGACUGGGAUAACUUCGGGAAACCGGAGCUAAUACCGGAUAAUAUAUUGAACCGCAUGGUUCAAUAGUGAAAGACGGUUUUGCUGUCACUUAUAGAUGGAUCCGCGCCGCAUUAGCUAGUUGGUAAGGUAACGGCUUACCAAGGCAACGAUGCGUAGCCGACCUGAGAGGGUGAUCGGCCACACUGGAACUGAGACACGGUCCAGACUCCGACGGGAGGCAGCAGUGGGGAAUAUUCCGCAAUGGGCGAAAGCUUGACGGAGCAACGCCGCGUGAGUGAUGAAGGUCUUCGGGUCGUAAAGCUCUGUUAUUGGGGAAGAACAAAUGUGUAAGUAACCAUGCACGUCUUGACGGUACCCAAACAGAAAGCCACGGCUAACUACGU
rnacentral:rRNA from 1 species